rnacentral:SRP_RNA from 1 species
AGUAGGUAUAUGUCUGUAACUCCUACUACUGGGGAGGCUGAAGCUGGUGGAUGACUUGAGCUCGGGGAUAAAACUGAUUGAGUGUCCCAAUUAAGUUCAGCAUCAAUAUAUUGAGCCCCUAAGGAAGCAGGGGAUCACAAGAUUGCCUAAAGAGUGGAGAAUUGACCCAAGUCAGAAACAGAGCAGGUCAAAGCUUCCAUGCCAGUCAGUGGUGGAACUGGGCACAAAUGGCUAUUGUACCACCAGCCUGGCAAGACAGAAGGAGCCAAUGUUA